UACGAAGGGGGCUAGCGUUGCUCGGAAUCACUGGGCGUAAAGCGCACGUAGGCGGAUUGUUAAGUCAGGGGUGAAAUCCUGGAGCUCAACUCCAGAACUGCCUUUGAUACUGGCGAUCUCGAGUCCGGGAGAGGUGAGUGGAACUGCGAGUGUAGAGGUGAAAUUCGUAGAUAUUCGCAAGAACACCAGUGGCGAAGGCGGCUCACUGGCCCGGUACUGACGCUGAGGUGCGAAAGCGAGGGGAGCAACAGGGAUUAAGAAACCCU
rnacentral:rRNA from 1 species